GGUGGCGGAUGGGCAUGCGGCGCAUUAGCUAGUCGGCGGGGUAACGGCCCACCGAGGCGACGAUGCGUAGGGGUUCUGAGAGGAAGGUCCCCCACACUGGUACUGAGACACGGACCAGACUCCUACGGGAGGCAGCAGUGAGGAAUAUUGGUCAAUGGGCGCGAGCCUGAACCAGCCAAGUCGCGUGAGGGAUGACGGUCCUACGGAUUGUAAACCUCUUUUGCCGGGGAGCAAGCGUGCGUUCGUGAACGCGCGUCGAGAGUACCCGGAGAAAAAGCAUCGGCUAACUCCGUGCCAGCAGCCGCGGUAAUACGGAGGAUGCGAGCGUUAUCCGGAUUUAUUGGGUUUAAAGGGUGCGUAGGCGGGAUGCCAAGUCAGCGGUAAAAAUGCGGUGCUCAACGCCGUCGAGCCGUUGAAACUGGCGUUCUUGAGUGGGCGAGAAGUAUGCGGAAUGCGUGGUGUAGCGGUGAAAUGCAUAGAUAUCACGCAGAACUCCGAUUGCGAAGGCAGCAUACCGGCGCCCUACUGACGCUGAGGCACGAAAGCGUGGGUAUCGAACAGGAUUAGAUACCCUGGUAGUCCACGCAGUAAACGAUGAAUGCUAACUGUCCGGCUCGAAUGAGCGCUGG
rnacentral:rRNA from 1 species